GAUGAAGAACGUAGCGAAAUGCGAUAAGUAAUGUGAAUUGCAGAAUUCAGUGAAUCAUCGAAUCUUUGAACGCACAUUGCGCCCCUUGGUAUUCCGAGGGGCAUGCCUGUUCGAGCGUCAUUAUAACCCCUCAAGCUCAGCUUGGUGUUGGGGCCUGCUGCACUGGCAGCCCUUAAAAUCAGUGGCGGCGCCAUCUGGCUCUAAGCGUAGUAAUUCUUCUCGCUAUGGAGUCCUGGUGGAUGCUUGCCAUCAACCCCCAAUUUUUCUAUGGUUGACCUAGGAUCAGGUAGGGAUACCCGCUGAACUUAAGCAUAUCAUAGCGGAGGA
rnacentral:misc_RNA from 1 species